CCUACGGGGGGCAGCAGUGAGGAAUAUUGGUCAAUGGACGAGAGUCUGAACCAGCCAAGUAGCGUGAAGGAUGACUGCCCUAUGGGUUGUAAACUUCUUUUAUAUGGGAAUAAAAUGUUCCACGUGUGGGAUUUUGUAUGUACCAUAUGAAUAAGGAUCGGCUAACUCCGUGCCAGCAGCCGCGGUAAUACGGAGGAUCCGAGCGUUAUCCGGAUUUAUUGGGUUUAAGGGGAGCGUAGGUGGAUUGUUAAGUCAGUUGUGAAAGUUUGCGGCUCAACCGUAAAAUUGCAGUUGAAACUGGCAGGCUUGAGUACAGUAGAGGUGGGCGGAAUUCGUGGUGUAGCGGUGAAAUGCUUAGAUAUCACGAAGAACUCCGAUUGCGAAGGCAGCUCACUGGACUGCAACUGACACUGAGGCUCGAAAGUGUGGGUAUCAAACAGGAUUAGAUACCCCAGUAGUC
rnacentral:rRNA from 1 species